ensembl:lncRNA
AGCCCUGAUAAACACAUCGCACAAGGUUUAUAUAGACAGAAGUUGAGCGUUCAGCGAGAUAACCACGUGGUGGAUUUCUGAUAUCCGAGGCAAGGAUGGAAGUUUUGCAAGGUCGGAAGAAGCACAGUUCGAACCUUCUUAUCACUUCUGGUCUAAACAUGCUCUUGUACAUGUACAGACUAAGUGGCACCUAAUAUUCUAAGUUACACACACGCAGAAACACAGAAAAGCCAUGUUCCUGCUUACAUAAGUACAUGAUUCAUAUAAGGUAAUUAAUAAUACAAGGCACUUGAUUAUUAUAUUCUUAAGUCAUUAACAGUGUUUGGAAAUUAUCUCCAUCAGUCCCUCCUUUUAUCCGUUUCAAUGGAUAAUUCAGAAUCACAAUCAAAAUCACAAUUCAAAUCAAAAUCACAAAUCAUCUUUCUUAAUUCGUCAAUUAUCAAUUUCAAUGGAUAACCUCAAAAUCAUCACUCUGAGCUUCAUCACAUGGAUUUUCGGAACAUUCGGAGAUCAUUACUGAACAUCACUCGAUAAGUUAAUCAUUUAAAAUGUCAUCAUAUUUCUCAUCACACAUUUGUAUACUUUGCAUUUGUAGGCCAACAUAGUGGAUGUCGACUGUGUGUGUGUCAUUAGCUCGCCUAGGCUUCAGAUAACAUUCAAACAAGGUUUCUUUGCUGUGUCCUUGAAGGCCCUGUUCCCCAUCAGGCAUUCUGUUGGACAACUUUUUGCAUCUUUUGUAGGAUCAGAUCUAAGGCUUUCCCAUUAUCGGGUGUUAUCAGGGACAUAUGUGCAACAUUGGUCAGUACCAAGCAUGACACAAAUGCCUCCAUUCAUGGCAGUGCGAAUUUCAAGCACGGUUGUGUUUUGCCGCGUUAACCUGGAGUUGGCGUGUAGUUCUUCUCUGAUCUUUUGUAGUCUGUCUCUGGUCAGGUUUUGGAACUUCAUCUCAGCGUAGUAAAGGAAGUUAAUCCAAUCUGUGUGUGUUCCGAUGACGCACCAGGGGCAGAGGGUAGAUGCCAGGCCAUUGGCUGCUGGGUUCAAGGCUUUGUAGUGGUCUGGAAUGCCUCAGGGAAUGCCCAGGCCAUCGGACCAGAUCCCGCUGUCAUCCCCUGCUUCUCUCCUCCCUCGUACGGAAUGCAUUGGAACGUUCCUCAGGUACUGGUGAGUCUUGGACCUGGGGGAAAUCUGAAAAGGUUGUACCAACAUUGUUCUAGCACAAGGCUCAGACCAACCCACAGGUAGUGUAGCUCUUAAUUCACCAUCCCCACUUAUCAGCUAUGGCUAUAUCCUGUACUUCUAGAAGUCUGCCAUUCAAACACAUCCCCGCUAUUCUAUAUUCAUAAGGUACAGGGGUCGCCAGGAGUGGUUUGGUCGGCAUCCUGGGCCCUGCACAGACUAAACAGACUAAACUAACUUGUGGUACUUGCGUUCUGACGGUCUGAUUCACCCAUUUCCAUCACGGAUGAUCUUUAGCCAGGCCCCAUCGUGGAUAUUCGUCCAGGGCCUGUGUUUGCUGUAUCAUUCAUAAGUAUGUUACUAGAACAACAAUGUAAAAUCCUACAGUCGUUGCUAAGAGUCCCUCACAUCCUCUGGCCCACUUUCCGUAACCUCCUAUGACCUUGCAGAGGAAGAGACCUCUUACUCCACAAUUUCCACUAGGUUCUAAUCCCCCAGGACAGUACUGUAUCUUCUGCCAGCGGUUGAGACGAAUAGAAUCUAAACAUCUAAACCCCUUUGUAGGCUGGUCUUCUGUCACAGUGGGCACACCCUGGAAACAGCAAAGAAAGAUGAUCUUUAUUCCUCUGCCUCAGUCGUGUGCAGGCUUACCCGUUUGCAUUGAGCCAGAAGUAUCCACGUGGCUCUCUCAGCUAUUUUGACUGCGGUAGGUGUUGACAGUAGCAGUUGUUACAAUAUUUCUUUCUUUCGUUGGGAUUUAACUCAAUAAAAUCAAUAAUGAAUGAUUAAAC